GAUGAACGCUGGCGGCGUGCCUAAUACAUGCAAGUCGAGCGAACGGACGAGAAGCUUGCUUCUCUGAUGUUAGCGGCGGACGGGUGAGUAACACGUGGAUAACCUACCCAUAAGACUGGGAUAACUUCGGGAAACCGGAGCUAAUACCGGAUAAUAUUUUGAACCGCAUGGUUCAAAAGUGAAAGACGGUCUUGCUUUCACUUAUUGAUGGAUCCGCGCUGCAUUAGCUAGUUGGUAAGGUAACGGCUUACCAAGGCAACGAUGCAUAGCUGACCUGAGAGGGUGAUCGGCCACACUGGAACUGAGACACGGUCCAGACUCCUACGGGAGGCAGCAGUAGGGAAUCUUCCGCAAUGGGCGAAAGCCUGACGGAGCAACGCCGCGUGAGUGAUGAAGGUCUUCGGAUCGUAAAACUCUGUUAUUAGGGAAGAACAUAUGUGUAAGUAACUGUGCACAUCUUGACGGUACCUAAUCAGAAAGCCACGGCUAACUACGUG
rnacentral:rRNA from 1 species